rnacentral:piRNA from 1 species
CAGAUGUAAAGGACUGUGGCCCUGG